rnacentral:rRNA from 1 species
UACGGAGGGGACUAGCGUUGUUCGGAAUUACUGGGCGUAAAGCGCUCGUAGGCGGAUUUGUAAGUCAGGGGUGAAAUCCCGGGGCUCAACCUCGGAACUGCCUUUGAUACUGCAAAUCUCGAGUCCGGAAGAGGUGAGUGGAAUUCCUAGUGUAGAGGUGAAAUUCGUAGAUAUUAGGAAGAACACCAGUGGCGAAGGCGGCUCACUGGUCCGGUACUGACGCUGAGGUGCGAAAGCGUGGGGAGCAAACAGG